rnacentral:lncRNA from 1 species
UCACUGUUAAUUGUUUAUGUUAUUUUUUUUGAUUAGAUUCCGAUCUUACAUGAUAUUUAUGUUUGUGUUUGUGUACUAUGUGGAUAAUUAUGAUGUCUGAUUAUUUUUUUUUUUGUUGUUGUAACAUAAGAUGUUAUCUUUAUUGGGUUGCUUAUUAUCUACAGAAAAUGAAGCAUAAAUUGCUUCAGAUGUAAAAUGGUAAAGUUUUACGAAUUUCCGUUUUUCCUGAUAAUUUGUCUCUCUACAUAUUCGUUAAUUUAUGUGUUUCUGACAAUUUGGUGGAAUUUCGAUGAAAAGAGUUUUCUUGAUUUUAUGUGCAGGAGGUCAACUUGAAACCAUCAAGAAGGUCAUGUCUAUCAUUUUUUUUGGAUCAAUUUCUUAAUCUCCUACUUUGUAUAUAUUCUAAUUUUUCUUUUAAUUUGAAUUUAAAUUACUGGGCGUUGUAUUGAGUGUGAUGAAGUUUUCUGUAUGGUUAAAUUAAUUUUUGCUUAAUAUGAAUUUUAAAAUAACAGAAAAAUAUUACUUAUGUUACAAAUUUUUUGAUGUUCUUUAUUAAGAUAAAAUAUUUGAGAAAUGAUUUUGCUCAAUCUUAGAUAAAAUGUUUCUAAUUGUUAUUGGUGAAUUUGAUUGAGAGUGCAAGGUCUGCAUGCAAAAAAAGUAUUUGCAAGAAGCAUGCCGAAGCAAAGCAUCCAAGGCUCAUCACUUAAAUGCAUAUUUACUUUUUUUUCAUCAAUAUUUAGUAUGUUUAAAUUUGUUAGUUCAAUUUAUUCGACAACUUCUCACUUUCUAAUAACUCUCACGUUUUCACCCACCGUUGUGUCUUCUCCUUAUUCUUCUUCUCCACUAUCAUCGACCGUGUCCUGCAAUUUUUCAUGGCUUAUGAUUUUAUUUAUUUAUUUUUUAUUCUUCGACCUUGCGCCGCAGUUAUUAGGAUUUUGUUCGCUGCCCAGUGAAAUCUGAAAUUUUGCUGCUGAAGAAUUCAAAGUGCCUCCUCAAACCAAUGCCAUAAUCAUUAAACGGUAUUCAAGAAGAAAAAAAAUACUUUAUUUUUCUUAUUUUCUUAGUUCUGAUUUAUUUCCUUAUGAUAUUUUUGUCAAAAAAUUUCUUUAGCAGGAUCUCUUAUGUUCCUUUUAUGUUUAACGUUAAAUGAUGAGCUCUCAUCAAUAUGAAUCUUUUAUUGGAAUUUGUUAAAUCAGACUUUUUAAUGAUUGUUGUUCAUGUAGAUGGCGUGGGAUUUAAUCCCCAACAAAGGGCUCAAGUAUUUUAGAUUUUCUUUUUCCAAUUUCAGUUUUGUUAUUGUUUACUACUGUGAGACAGGGUUGAUGAUGUUUGUGAUCGAAGACUUGACAUUGUUUGUUGGCUAUUGGAAAAAUUCCAUUGGUUUGCAUUGUUUUCUGCGUCAAUUAGUUUCACUUGAUAUUCGUAUUAUCUUAGGAUGUGGUUUUUUCCAGUUUUAAAUUUAUUCAAAUGAUUUAUUUAUAUUUAAAUUUAUAUGUGUCGAUCUAUUAAGUAGCUAUGGUUUCCCAAUUUAUUGCCUUCUUUGCAUUAUUUCACAGAUGAAAAUCAAUCGUACAAUUUAU